rnacentral:lncRNA from 1 species
GAUAUUCUAUUUGUGCCUACCCCUAUUUACAAAUACACUUUUAUUUUCUUUACACUAAAAAUUGACUAAUGUCAAGGCCUUUUUAUUUUAAAUUAAUUUUAAUUUUAUCUUUAAUGUAAUAUUUUGAACAAAAAUGUCAUUUUGUAUUAAUUAUAAAUAUCUUUUUAUAUUUGUCAACUAUUUUUAUAUACUUUUUACAUACACAUACAUGUGCAGCUUGAUGUGAGCACCUUGUAACUGAAAUAUUUAAUUUUUUUGAAAGUUGAAAUAUUUUUUCUUAAUGCUUCUUUCUGUACCGACCAAAUGGUAGUAAAAUAAUUUAUCUUAAUAUUUUUU